UCCGCGUGUAGCAGUGAAAUGCGUAGAUAUGUGGAGGAACACCGAUGGCGAAGGCAGCCCCCUGGGUCAGCACUGACGCUCAGGCACGAAAGCAUGGGGAGCAAACAGGAUUAGAUACCCUGGUAGUCCAUGCCCUAAACGAUGUCAACUAGUUGUCGGGUCUUAACGGGCUUGGUAACGUAGCUAACGCGUGAAGUUGACCGCCUGGGGAGUACGAUCGCAAGAUUAAAACUCAAAGGAAUUGACGGGGACCCGCACAAGCGGUGGAUUAUGUGGAUUAAUUCGAUGCAACGCGAAAAACCUUACCUACCCUUGACAUGUAUCGAAGCCCGCAGAGAUGUGGGUGUGCCCGAAAGGGAACGAUAACACAGGUGCUGCAUGGCUGUCGUCAGCUCGUGUCGUGAGAUGUUGGGUUAAGUCCCGCAACGAGCGCAACCCUUGUCAUUAAUUGCCAUCAUUUAGUUGGGCACUUUAAUGAGACUGCCGGUGACAAACCGGAGGAAGGUGGGGAUGACGUCAAGUCCUCAUGGCCCUUAUGGGUAGGGCUUCACACGUAAUACAAUGGCGCGUACAGAGGGUUGCCAACCCGCGAGGGGGAGCCAAUCUCAGAAAGCGUGUCGUAGUCCGGAUCGGAGUCUGCAACUCGACUCCGUGAAGUCGGAAUCGCUAGUAAUCGCGGAUCAGCAUGUCGCGGUGAAUACGUUCCCGGGUCUUGUACACACCGCCCGUCACACCAUGGGAGUGGGUUCCACCAGAAGCAGGUAGUCUAACCGCAAGGAGGGCGCUUGCCACGGUGAGAUUCAUGACUGGGGUGAAGUCGUAACAAGGUA
rnacentral:rRNA from 1 species